UACGUAGGCAGCGAGCGUUGUUCGGAGUUACUGGGCGUAAAGAGUGCGUAGGCGGUUUCGUAAGUCUGGUGUGAAAUCUCCCGGCUUAACUGGGAGGGUGCGCCGGAAACUGCGGAGCUGGAGUGUGGGAGAGGCAAGCGGAAUUCCUGGUGUAGCGGUGAAAUGCGUAGAUAUCAGGAGGAACACCUGCGGUGUAGACGGCUUGCUGGACCACUACUGACGCUGAGGCGCGAAAGCGUGGGGAGCAAACAGG
rnacentral:rRNA from 1 species